AGAGGGACCCUGAGAAAUGGGCUACCACAUCCAAGGAAGGCACCCAGGCCUGAAAUUACCCACUUCUGGCGCGGAGAGGUAGUGACUAGUAAUAACAGGAUUAGACUUUCGAGUCGAACCCUGGACUGGCGAGGAGGUAUAAAUACCUCGGUAAUUCAAGUUCAGGGCAAGUCUGGUGCCAGCCGCCGCGGUAACACCAGCCUGAACAAGCGUAUGCUUUAGUUGCUGCGUUUAAAAAGCUCAUAGUUGGAUCUACGGCAGCGUCACCAACACUAGGUUUGAUCUUAUUGAUCAAUACCGGGUGGCGGUUUGUCAUUCGGCCUUACUAGGCGGUUUGCACUUAACUGUGUAUAACUGAUCUAAUGAAGGACCAAACCUUGAGAAAAUUAGAGUGCUCAAGGCGAGUUUUGGCAUUGAAUUUUAAAGCAUGGAAUAAUGGAGUAGGACCAGUUGGUCGUGAACCAGCAGGUAAUGAUUAAAAGGAACAGGCGGGGGCAUUUGUAUUGCUGGGGGAGGGGUGAAAUCCGUAGAUCCCAGCAAGACAUCCUACUGCGAAAGCAUUUGCCAAGAAUGUUUUCAUUAAUCAAGAACGAAAGUUAGAGUAUUGAAGAGGAUUAGAUACCCUCGUAAUUCUAACCUUAAACAAUACCGUCUUACGCUUAGCCAAUGUAUUUAUACUUGGCUAGGAGUACACCGGGAAACCAAAGAUAUUUGGUUCCGGGGGGAGUAUGGUUGCAAAAUCGAAACUUAAAGGAAUUGACGGAGGGGCACCACCAGGAGUGGAGCCUGCGGCUUAAUUUGACUCAACACGGGGAAACCCACCAGGUCCAGACAUCUUAAGGAUUGACAGAUAGAAUCUCUUUCACGAUUAAAUGGGCGGUGGUGCAUGGCCGUUCUUAGUUAGUGGAGUGAUCUGUCUGGUUAAUUCCGAUAACUAACGAGAUCUCACCCAUCUAACUAGUAGAUGUCACUUUAUGUGGCAUUAAGACUUCUUAGAGGGACUAAGCACAAUUAAAUAGUGCUAGUGAAGUGAGGUUAUAACAGGUCUGUGAUGCCCUUAGAUGUUCUGGACCGCACGCGCGCUACAAUGAUAGCUUUAAUGGGUUAAUUAACCUAAGCCGAUGAGGUUUGGGGAAAUCGUUUAAAGUAUGUGGUAUUCAUAGUGGGGAUCAACUAUUGUAACUAGUAGUUGUGAACUAGGAAUUCCUGGUACUUAGAUUUCACCAAAAUCUAGGGAUUACGUCCCUGCCCUUUGUACACACCGCCCGUCGCUACUACUGAUUGGACGGUUAAGCUAGAUGCUGGGAGACUUUCUUUUGUGACUUCGGUCGCAACUGAAGGGCAAACAGUUUCAAGCUGAACUGGCUAGAGGAAGUAAAA
rnacentral:rRNA from 1 species